rnacentral:rRNA from 1 species
CGCCUCCUGAAAAAUAUAAGAGGUCCAGCCUGCCCGGUGACUUGUUUAACGGCCGCGGUAUCCUAACCGUGCGAAGGUAGCGUAAUCACUUGUCUUUUAAAUAAAGACUAGUAUGAAAGGCAUCACGAGGGUCAAACUGUCUCCUUUUUCUAAUCAGUAAAACUAAUCUUCCCGUGAAGAAGCGGGAAUUUCUCUAUAAGACGAGAAGACCCUAUGGAGCUUUAAACUGUAAGUUAUUCGCCCCUCCCUACCCCAAUUUCAGAAAUUUUACACUUUGGGCUCACUAACUGCACGUUUUAGGUUGGGGUGACCUAGGAGCAAAACAAACCCUCCUAGAUGACACGGGCUAAGCCCUGAGAAAAAAGUCACAACUUUAACCACCAAUAAAUUGACAUCAAUUGACCCAGUCCGCUGAGCAACGAACCAAGUUACCCUAGGGAUAACAGCGCAAUCUACUUCAAGAGUCCCUAUCGACAAGUGGGUUUACGACCUCGAUGUUGGAUCAGGGUGUCCGAGUGGUGCAGCCGCUACUAAAGGUUCGUUUGUUCAACGAUUAAAACCCU